CCGACAUCUUAUGACACGAUAUUAUUUACCAUGUAAUCCAGUGCAGAUGCCGUUAUCCACUUAGGUAUCACAACUUAUGUUAUGUUCCUUAUCAUAUUUCUAAUGAAUUUUCAGAGACACUGAUCUUGAAACUGCUGUAAUUCAACAGCCUAUGAACAAUCGAACAUACAUAGGGAGUAAAAUGGCUAGGUGUCGAGGAAAUCCUGAGAAAAAUUGGAGUACAAUCAGAUCUUGGAAGAUUAUUUGCAUGGACAAACACUUAGCUCUUCUAAACAAGAAUUUGCUACUUCUGGACCAUCAUCGUGGGGGCCUCCUGAAGAUUGCUUGUACCUGAAUUUUCUGCUGUUGCGCUCUGUCAUUGGAAAUCCGUCCAGCUGCCCACUGGUGAAUCCUGUUGAUCGUUGGCGCCAGGAGAUUGCCUGUGAGAAACUCAUUCAGUGAGCACAUAAGCUUCAGUUCUAAUUUUUUUUUACUAAAUCAGAGUCAAUUAAUAGGGAAUAGAGGGAGUACUUGCUUGCUUAUAUCACACCCUUUUCAUGCUACCCCCUACAAAAAGAUUGGCAAUUGAAAUUCUUUGGACAGUUAAUCAACAGUUGACAAAGAACAUUCAACCUGCUGUCAACGAUGACCAGUCUUAUUCACUUGCAUUUCUUUUCACAUUUAAUGACAUGACACUUUCCUUUGAAUCUUUUACUAGUUCAUUGCUCUCUGAUCUGCCUAUAUUUUGAUUAGUGUUUAUUUAACCUUUUGUUGUGUAGAAUAAGAUUGUACAUGGAUCUGUCGAUGUCGAACUAUUCUUAGAGGCUGCACUUGGUUUAUAUUGUGGAAAAGUAAACAAACCUGACAGGCUAAAGGCUCUUUUACUUCUUGCACGCUCCAUUAAGGCAGAUCCAAGCACAGUUAUCUUGUGGGUGUUUUAUCUUCAUAUUUACUAUCAAAAGGAUGAAGGACUUGGAACAAUUUAAGUGAACUGCAGGAGGGUGGGCGGAGGGCGCGCUCCGCGGUGCUCUGGCAUCCUGCUCGACGAGGAAGAGGGUUUGGCGUCAGGGAUGGGAACCUGGCUGCGGCGUUGGAUGCAUGGCGCAGCUGGCGCAACUUCCUCUGGCCACGCGAUGAGGCAUCUGGCCGCGCGGCGAGGCAGGGCCCAAACUCCAUGACAACUUUCUUCCUCGGCGGCAGAUGAACCCUGUUGUU